CUAUUCUCAAUUAAGUGUUACUUACAUUUAAUUUGACAUUUACCUAAUAUUUAAGUGAAUUCAUGUUAAGCAAGAUAUAUUCGCACAGAGUUUCACUAAACACAUGCAAGGUAUCUUACUAUUUUCUUUAUUUACAUUUUUGAUACAAACGAUUGUAACGAUAGAUUUAAUUUAAUUUGAGGAAUAUUUUAAGAAAAUUGAAAUUUGGAUAUUGUACAAUUAUUCAUCAAAUUGACAUAAUUGAAAUUAUUGAUUAGACAGAGUGUUAUUUGUUGACUUCUUAUAGAUGAACAUUUAUUGUAUAUAAUGUGCGAAAUUUUGAAAUGCCAUUUUUACUGUACCCGCUAUGAAUUUCUUGUAUAGAAUGAUAAAUAAACAGAAGACAAAUUCAUGAGUAGAAAAAACAUACUCAGACAAAAAUGGGGAAUUAACUUAUUCUUCUGUUUAAGAUGUCUCUAGAAAAGAGAGAAUUUUGGCUAAUUAAUGUUGUUUGUUUGUUUAUUUGUAAGUUAUUUUAGCUCACAUGGCCAAUAGGGCCAAGUGAGCUCUUCUAAUCACUUGUUAUCAGUCGUCUUCGUCGUACGUCGUCGUCGUUAACUUUUACAAAAAUAUUCUCCUCUUUAACUACUAACUUAAACAAACUUUAAGCAAACUUGGCCACAAUCAUCAUUUGGGUUUACGACGACGACGACGUCGACGACGACGACGAUUGACGACGAUGACGAUGUCUAAUUUAACAAAAUGUGUCUGAUGACCUAGCAAAUCAACUAACAUGGCUGCCAUGGCUAAAAAUAGACAAUAGAGGCAAACAGUAGAUUUUGGCUUAUAUCUUUGAUGCCACUGCUGGUGGACGUUUCGUCCCCGAGAGUAUGACCAGCCCAGUAGUCAGCCCUUCGCUGUUGACAUGAAUAUCAAUUAUGUGAUCAUUUUUAUAAUUUUUCUGUUACAAAACUUUGAAUUAUUUGAAAAAACUAAGGAUUUUCUUAUCUUCCUUAUUAACUUUUUUGAAUUUAGGGUCUUCAAUGCUCUUCAACUUUGUACUUGUUUGGCUUUACAACUUUUAUGAUCUGAGCGUCACUGAUGAGUCUUAUGUAGACGAAAAGCGCGUCUGGCGUAAUAAAUUAUAAUUCUGGUACCUUUGAUAACUAUUUGAAACAAAAGCAUGAAGAGCAAAUCUGACAAAGUAAAUUUGUGAAUGUCAAAAUCUAUCUGUCCAGAAAUUUUCAGGCAAAUUGAACAACAACCCGUUGUUGGGUUUCUGCUCCUGAUUUGGUAGUUUUAUGGAAAUUCUGCUGUUUUUGGUUAUUAUCUUGAAGAUUAUUAUAGAUUGAAAUAAUUUGUAAACAGCAAAAAUGUUCAGCAAAGUAGGACCUACAAAUAAGUCAAUAUGACCAAAAUGGCCAAUUGACCACUCUAGGAGUUAUUGUUCUUAAUAGUAGUUUUUUUGAAAUCUUACAAAAAUCUUCUCCUUUAAAACCACUGAGACAAUUUCAACGGAACUUGGUCACAAUCAUUAUUAAUGUAUAUAGUUUUAAAAUUGUGUCCGAUGAACGCACAUGCUACCCAACAUGGCUAACAACAUGAACAAAGCUAAAAUGAGAACAUACGGGUAAAAUGUAUUUUUUGAAACUAAAGCAAUUAGAGCAAAUUUGACGGAGAUCAAAAUGUUCAUCAGGUUCAAAUAUAUUUGUCCUGACAUUUAAAGAAGAAUCAGGCAAAUUUUUGUUGUGUUGCUGCCCCUGAAAAAGGAACUUUAAGGACAUUUUGUGGUUUUUGGUUAUUAUUUUGAAUAUUAUCAAAGAUAGAGAUAAUUUGUAAGUAGCCAUUAUUUUCAUCAAAAUAAAAUCUACAAAUAAGUGUGCAUAACUCAUACAAAUAAGUCUGCAUGAUUAAUAUGGUCAAUUGACCCCAUAGGGAGUGAUUUCCUGUAAAGUCCAAUUUAACAAGUUUUCAUAAUUUUUUGUAAUCUUUUAGAAAAGUCUUUUCCUGAAACAACUGAUACAAAUUUAUCCAAACUUGACCACAAAUAAGCAUAAGAGUAUUCAGUUUUUUAAAAUGUGUCCGAUGACCCUGCCUGCUAACCAACAUGGCAGACAUGGCAAAAAAAAUAGAACAUAGGGGAAAACUAGAGCAGAAAUAUAACGGUUGCAUUAUUUCAUGCAUUAUUGUAAAAAAUAUAUGUGAGCGACACAUGAUCAUUGAAGCCUCUUCUUUCAUUUUACAAUUUUUUUUAUUUUCGAAUAAGGAAAGUUGUGUUUGCCACAUGUCUGUGCAGACUGAAAGCAAACACUUGCUGCAAUUAAUCAUAUAAUUUUUUUUUUUGUUUCAGUUUAUUCUUUUUUCAAAAGAAAGUUUAAUAUGAUCUAUACUCAUUAGUGUUGAAUUAAUUGAGAUUUUUUACUUGAUACUUAUUAGCAGAUGCGUAGUUAUCUAUAUUAGUAUGAGCAUUGCCAUUGUAUGUAAUAGUAAAACAAUGUAUUCUUAAUAUGCAUUUCAUUUCAGAUGUAUCAUACCUUCACUGCUGUAUUUUUCUUAGUGUUAAUAAGUGUUACCAUGGCAAGUAAUUGCACACAAUGUACAGCCGAAAGGAAACAACGUACUGGAAAUUCAAGUUUUAUGAUUAAAGACGGCUGUUGGGAAUAUAGUUGCUUUUGUAACUGCGAUGGAAGUUGGAAUUGCCCUACUGAGGAUGCAAGGGAAGUCUGUUGGGGGACACACUUGUUUUCUUCAUGCGGACAUUGUCAAGUAAGAGGAUACAUGUACAGGGGAGACAGUAAUUUUACAUAUAAAGACGGCUGCUACAGGUUUUUCUGUACAUGCAACUGUGAUGGAAGUUGGAAUUGUCCGCCUAGUCAGAAACACUAUCUUUGCUAUAAUAAUUAAAUUACGAUUUUAAUUUUAUUUGAUCUUCUUUGUUUCGUCAUAAUCAAAGUAUUUAGAGAUUACAAAGCCAGGAGACUGCAUUUCAUUAAUUUUCGUGUGUUACUGUUUAUAGUAUUUUGUUUAUAUUCAUAUUUUUCAUAAAAAACAGGCUGUUAGUUUUCUUGUCUGAAUUGUGACAGAUUUGCCGUUUCGGGGUCUUAUAUAGCUGACUAUGCAGUUUGUGCAAUUGUCGAAAGCCGUAUAGUUACCUGCAGUUGUUACCUUCUUUGUAAUUUGGUCUCUAGUGGAGGGUUGCCUCAUUUGUUAUAAUAAUUAUACCACAUCUUUUUAUUUUCAUAAAUAAACAUUAUUUUGUAGGCA
rnacentral:lncRNA from 1 species